rnacentral:rRNA from 1 species
GACGAACGCUGGCGGCGUGCUUAACACAUGCAAGUCGAACGCUGAAGCUCAGCUUUUGUUGGGUGGAUGAGUGGCGAACGGGUGAGUAACACGUGAGUAACCUGCCUCCUUCUUUGGGAUAACGCCCGGAAACGGGUGCUAAUACUGGAUAUUCACUGGUCUUCGCAUGGGGGUUGGUGGAAAGGGUUUUUCUGGUGGGGGAUGGGCUCGCGGCCUAUCAGCUAGUUGGUGGGGUGAUGGCCUACCAAGGCUUUGACGGGUAGCCGGCCUGAGAGGGUGACCGGUCACAUUGGGACUGAGAUACGGCCCAGACUCCGACGGGAGGCAGCAGUGGGGAAUAUUGCACAAUGGGCGCAAGCCUGAUGCAGCGACGCCGCGUGAGGGAUGGAGGCCUUCGGGUUGUGAACCUCUUUCGCUCAUGGUCAAGCCGCAACAAUGGUUGUGGUGAGGGUAGUGGGUAAAGAAGCGCCGGCUAACUACGUG